GACGAGCCACACGAACGUUAUUCGGAAUUACUGGGCUUAAAGGGUGCGUAGGCUGCGCGGAAAGUUGGGUGUGAAAUCCCUCGGCUCAACCGAGGAACUGCGCCCAAAACUGCCGUGCUCGAGGAAGAUAGAGGUAAGCGGAACUUACGGUGGAGCGGUGAAAUGCGUUGAUAUCGUAAGGAACACCUGUGGCGGAAGCGGCUUACUGGGUCUUUUCUGACGCUGAUGCACGAAAGCUAGGGGAGCAAACGGG
rnacentral:rRNA from 1 species